rnacentral:rRNA from 1 species
GAGGCGAAGCAGGACACGGAAAGUCGUCGCAAAGGCAAAAAGGCCAAGAAGACCGGAAAUGACUACCCUCCCGCGUGCUUCACUCUAAGUCAGGAGGAGAUCGAUCAGUUUUUCACCUGCCUCAUAGGAGUAAAACUUCCUUACGGUUACGCGGGGAAGAUAAGCAGAUACCUAGACCCAGCGAAGCAGAAGUUCAGCAGGAUGAAGUCUCACGACUGUCACGUGCCGAUGACGCAAAUACUUCCAGUUGCAAUCCGUGGGAUCAUGGACGCGCACGUCCGUGAAACGCUAUUUGGCCUAUGCAACUUUUUCGACGUCAUCUCUCGGAACUCGGUUGGCGUGAGGCAACUCAGAAGGCUACAGGAAGAGAUCGUGGUGAUACUA